rnacentral:RNase_P_RNA from 1 species
GGUGCUCCUUACCUUUCAGCGGGGCCACGUGCUGAAUGCUCGUCACUCUUUGGACCCUGGGAAGGUCUGAGACUGGGGCCUCCCAGGGCCCUAACCGGGCCCUCCCUGAGUGGGGAGGUGAGUUCCCAGAGAGCAGGGCUUUACUCGUGGGCAGACUGGGCAGGAGAAGCCCCUAGUGGUCGGAUGCCUCUCUCGCCAGAGCUUGGAACAGACUCAUUCUAAGCAGCUCAGGGCGGGGCCAUCUGAGAAGAGGAAACUCUUAAAGUGAAAGCAGUUAAUAACAGACAGGAUGCAAGGGGCAGGAGAAUGAGAAACAGCCAGGGAACCUGCAAUACAGGCUCC